UUCUGACUGUUUGCAGCACUCCUAUGGAAUCCUGAUGGUGAAGACAAUUGCUUCUAACUCUCCAUAGUCUCAUAUUCUUACCACAUGGUGGCAAUAUGACUUCCACGUUUCUGCAAAGGAGGGCAAAAAGCCUGUCAAAUCUACUCUAGAUCUGCUCUGCUUCUGGACUUCGUAAAAACCUCUGAUUAAUAGCACAGUGCAUCUAUUCUGUCGUGACAAAAGCAAUCACGUUAUGAAGAAAAGUGUUCCCUCUGGGCCUACCAUUCAUAUAAAGCAUCAGGAGUUACGGGUGCCACUGCUGGGACUGGAAUCUGCAUAGCACUGUGCAAACAGCUCUUGGAAAAGAGAAAGUGAGAAGCAGGUCAUGAGCUGUCACAGUAACCUGGCAGGCGCUGCGGGAAGACUCGGCUGCUGCUGCUGGAGGUGGUGAACUUCAGCAACAAAAAGAGCAUGCGAAGGAAGAGGAGUGUGCUGAACUCUCUGUGAUCCUGUUUCAGCCUUUCUCGCAGCUCCUUUACAGACUGUCUGCUAGAGAUGGCUGCACAGAUGGAAUGAGAUUUCUGCAUAUGCUCUGCGUUCAUCUCGGUAACUCGCUGAAAUGGUGGCAGUGCAAACAAACAUGGGUGUGAGCAUCCCAUCCAGUUCUGUUGGGGAUGUGAGGAAGGCACGUUCUGUAAUCCUCAGCAGGAAUGGGGGAAGAGGAAAAAUAGCCUUGACGUGAUAAACUUCAAUUCUUGCCCAGAUAACAAGAAAUUCCAAAUAGAAAUUGAACAGUGCAGAUAAAGGGCAUGAAAUGAAGAAUGCCAUUGCUUAGGGUUUUGAAAAAGUGGUCCAGAACACAGCAGCAGUUUGCAGAGCUGAUCUUGACGCUAUGUGGCGACUGAACUGGCCACUGGAAAUGGAUUCUUGCUUGUUUCCAGCUUCUCCUUCUUCCUUAAAACACAGCUGGCAACCUAUUAACUAAAUCCAAAUCCAGUUUUUCAUGCGGACCCAACAAAACAACAUGUGCUAUUGAAUAUGGGCUAUGUGACUGCAUCACAUCAACCAGCAAAGCACGAGAAGGUUGGUGUUUCAGCUCAGGGGCAGAUGCACAUGUUUCAAGGACCAAAAGGAGUAUGCCAGACCUCCUGUCCUGUCCUGUCCUGGUCCCCAGGUCACCUUCCUACAGAAACCAUGGUGGAUGGGACAAAAGCAACCAUGUGGUUUCAAUUCCUUGUCUGCAUGGAUACAGAUGUCAUAACACUCAGAUCGUCUUUUGAAAUCCUUCCAUCACUGUUGCAAAUUCUAGUGGACUCUGGUUGCUGAAAGACUACAUGAUCAAAAUGUCGUGAGACCUUGCAGCUCCUCAGGAGGGCAAGAGCAGGCGCGCACCAAGGAUCACCCAUGGGUAGCUAAGCCUGCCUCUGCCAAUGCCUGCUGACACAGCUGGUGCUGUCUGUGGGAAAGCAACUCCCUCUUGGAGAAGAAUUAUAAAUAUUAAAUUCUCAAAGAAUCUUAGAAACAGCAUGGUUUGGGUUAAAAGGGACCUUAAAGAUCAUCUAGUUCCAACCCCUGUGCCAUGGGCAGGGACACCUCCCACUGGAUCAGGUUGCUCAAAGCCUCAUCCAACCUCGCCUUGAACAACUCCAAGGAUGGGGCAUCCUUGACUUCCCUGCACAACAAGUGCCAGUGCCUCACCACCCUCACAGUAAAAAAUUUCUUCCUAAUAUCCAAUUUAAAUCUGCCAUCUUUCAACUUAAACCAUUCCCCCUCUUCCUAUCCCUGCACUCCCUGAUACAGAGCCCCUCCUCAGCUUUUCUGCAGGCCCCUUUAUGUACUGGAAGGCUACUAUAACAUCUCCCUGAGCUUUCUCUUCUCCAGGAUGAACAACAACAACAGCCUGUUCUCACAGGGGAUGUGCUCCAGCCCUUUGAUCAUCUUUGUGGCCUCCUCUGGACUCACUCUAACAGAUCCGCAUCCUUCCUGUAUUGAAUCAUAAAUCAAUCAGUCAAAAUUAUGAUUUAUCAAUCAUAAAAAUACCAAUUCAAGAUUGUCAGGAAAGGAGUCUAAUAUAAGGCAGCUAAAUAAGCCUCCUGGGGGGUUUUGGGUUAAUUUCAUGCAAAUCAUUAAGUCUACUGCUAUGAGAAUGCUUUUGGGAAUCAGGCUGUUUACUUAGGUGUUUAAGUGCUGAUAAGUGAGCAAAAAAUUAGCUAGCCAUGCAAAUAAAUAUUGUUCCACAGCAUUGGUCUUUAUCGUGUGGAUAAAUGCUUUGUUCUGUGUUUUGCUGUCAACAAUGACAAAGAUUCUGUACCCUCCUCACCCCAAAGUAAACUGCAUUCUGCUCAAAGUAGUGCUCUCGU